rnacentral:rRNA from 1 species
UACGUAGGCAGCAAGCGUUGUUCGGAGUUACUGGGCGUAAAGGGCUCGUAGGCGGCCAACUAAGUCAUACGUGAAAUCCCUCGGCUUAACCGGGGAACUGCGUCUGAUACUGGAUGGCUUGAGUGUGGGAGAGGGAUGCGGAAUUCCAGGUGUAGCGGUGAAAUGCGUAGAUAUCUGGAGGAACACCGGUGGCGAAGGCGGCAUCCUGGACCAUUACUGACGCUGAGUGAGCGAAAGCCAGGGGAGCAAACGGG